AAUGCACCUGAUCUCGUCUGAUCUCGGAAGGUAAA
rnacentral:rRNA from 1 species